rnacentral:rRNA from 1 species
UACGUAGGGGGCUAGCGUUGUCCGGAUUUAUUGGGCGUAAAGCGCCCGCAGGCGGCUUGCCAAGUUCGAUGUGAAAUCUCCCGGCUCAACUGGGAGGGUGCAUCGAAAACUGGCGAGGCUUGAGGCAGGGAGAGGGAUGUGGAAUUCCAGGUGUAGUGGUGAAAUGCGUAGAUAUCUGGAGGAACACCCGUGGUGUAGACGGCCUGCUGGACGGUCACUGACGCUGAGGCACGAAAGCGUGGGGAGCAAACAGG